UGAUGCAAACCAGACGGGAGAUGAGUGCACCAGCCAAGCCGGAGCGUCGACUCUGCGAGUUCUAGAAGCAGUGGAGGUGCCGGAUUUCGCUGAGGUAGCGGAAGUUCCGAUGCCUUGACUCCAGAUGCCGCUACCCCUCUCUCCGAUUCGCCGCCAUCGCCGGGGUCAUAGAACAACAGGUAGCUUGGUAAACAAAAUUUAUGUUCUGAAUAGCAUCAAGAUGGCACUUUUGGAGCAGAAUAAUAUCAGAUGCAGCAUAGAUCAGAGCAUAAUAAUCGUAUAUGGUAUAUGGCUUCCCAAUGGAGGGCAUGCAAUAUCGAAGCAGAAGAGUUGGAGACGGACAUUCCACCUGUUAUCUCUUCCGAAGCGCCGGCAUCACCGCAUACAUUGGAGAAUAGGUCAUACGAUAACCAGGAGGAACAACUGAUG